rnacentral:rRNA from 1 species
UACGAAGGGGGCGAGCGUUGUUCGGAUUUACUGGGCGUAAAGGGCGCGCAGGCGGCUCAUUUUGUCAGGCGUGAAAGCCCCGGGCUUAACCUGGGAACUGCGUUUGAUACGGAUGGGCUAGAGUUCGGGAGAGGAGAGUGGAAUUCCCAGUGUAGAGGUGAAAUUCGUAGAUAUUCGCAAGAACACCAGUGGCGAAGGCGGCUCACUGGCCCGAUACUGACGCUGAGGUGCGAAAGCGUGGGGAGCAAACAGG